GACGAACGCUGGCGGCGUGCUUAACACAUGCAAGUCGAACGGAAAGGCCCUGCUUUUGUGGGGUGCUCGAGUGGCGAACGGGUGAGUAACACGUGAGUAACCUGCCCUUGUCUUUGGGAUAACUUCAGGAAACUGGGGCUAAUACCGGAUAGGAGCUCCUGCUGCAUGGUGGGGGUUGGAAAGUUUCGGCGGUUGGGGAUAGACUCGCGGCUUAUCAGCUUGUUGGUGAGGUAGUGGCGUACCAAGGUUUUGACGGGUAGGCGGCCUUAGAGCGUGACCGGCCACCUUGGGACUGCGGUAGGGCCCAGACUGCUACGGGAGGCAACAGUCGGAAAUAUUACACAAUGGGCGGACGCCUGAUGCAGCAACGCCGCGAUCGGGAUGACGGCCUUCGGGUUGUGAACCGCUUUCGCCUGUGACAAAGCGGGAGUGACGGUAAUGGGUAAAGAAGCACCGGCUAACUACGUG
rnacentral:rRNA from 1 species